rnacentral:rRNA from 1 species
GACAGAGGGUGCAACCGUUGUUCGGAAUUACUGGGCGUAAAGCGCACGUAGGCGGCUUUGUAAGUUAGAGGUGAAAGCCCGGGGCUCAACCCCGGAAUUGCCUUUAAGACUGCAUCGCUUGAAUCCGGGAGAGGUGAGUGGAAUUCCGAGUGUAGAGGUGAAAUUCGUAGAUAUUCGGAAGAACACCAGUGGCGAAGGCGGCUCACUGGACCGGUAUUGACGCUGAGGUGCGAAAGCGUGGGGAGCAAACAGG